AAAAAAAAUAAAAAAAAUAGAGUUGGUUAAUUUAUUGAAAAUAUAAAUAAAUAAAUAUUAAAUUAUUGGGAACAAGUUUAAUAAAAAGCUGAAUGAUACGACCACCGUUUAAUACUACAGUGAUCCACAUGAAGUAGAGGAGUCAAGUAGUAGUUACAUACAACAGCAAAAAUGGACUAUGUCACAUACUUGUCUUAUUAUAUUAUAUUU